AAUUCUAGCAAUGGGCAAAGAGACACCUUGUUGGUGGUGUUCUUAUAUCAGUCAUGGGUGAGUGGAUGGCAGUCCUGUGUUCAUCCUAGCUUGAUGCCCAGUUUGGUGGCCAAAGCUGUUUUGUGCCUAGGAUUGUCUA